rnacentral:lncRNA from 1 species
UGGGCUUGAUUAAUUUAUAUAUUGAUUAAGUUUUGAUUUUUUUUUUGUGCAGAUAGUCCUCAAACUUGUCACUCCAAUCACUAUUGGAUAGUGAGAAGUUGACAGGACUCAAUUUUGAUAACUAGUAUCAAAAACGUAAAAUCAUCCUAGAGCAGGAGCGGAUUUUGUAUGUCAGUACAGAUUCGGCACCUGAGGAGCCUGCUCCCAACGCUCGUGGCACUGUUCGAGAUACUUAUUUGAAGUAGCUCAA